GGAAUUCCUCAGAAAAAGGCCCUUAUUCCUCAGGAAGCUUUGUAAACACAGUGUGGAACAUGUACCUUGGGAAGUGCUGGGGGUAAAAGGCGGGACCUCAUGCAAGCCAGGCUCUGCAGUGACCCUGAAAACUGAAGAGAAAGAAACAACUCAAAGCCAAGAAGAUACUGCAGACAGUUGCUAUGGGUUGGAUGGUGUAGCCCAAAGACACGCUAAAAUCCUAAACCCCCAGUCUUUCUGAAUGGGAUCUCAUUGGAAAUGCAGUCUCGGUAGAUGAGGUCGACUCUCAUCUAACACGCUGUGUGUUCUUAGAAGAGCAAAAAUGACAUGGAUACAGACACAAGAGAGGCUCCAAGUGAAGGCGGAGGCAAGGAGGCAUCUACAGGCCAGCAAAUGCCAAGACGGUCAGCUAUCCUCAGCAUCUGGGACAGAGGCAGCCAUUCUCCUUCAGCGCCUUCAAGAAGAGCUUACCCUGCUGACACGUUGAUUUUGGACUUUCAGCCUCCAGAACUGGGAGCGAAUGGUCUUCUGUUGUGUUAAGCUAUCAGUUGUGAUAAUUUGUUAUGGCAGCCCUAGGGAGCAAUGUGUGCAUUUUUCAUCUCAUACUGCUCAUCUCAUACUGAGCACUUGAGGGAGGACACAUAGCUGAAUCUCACUAGCUCUUACGCACUCACACCCAUGCUUUUUCUUC